UAACAGGAAAUUUAAGGGCGUACGGUGGAUGCCUUGACUUUAAGAGGCGAAGAAGGACGUGGCGUUGCUGCGAUAAGCUUCGGGGAGGUGCUUAGCAACCUUUGAUCCGGAGAUUUCCGAAUGGGGAAACCCUAUCAAGCAAACCUUGAUAACCCGUCAGCAAUGACGAGGUGCAGACCCUGGGAAGUGAAACAUCUCAGUACCAGGAGGAAUAGAGACAAAUAUGUAUUUCCUAAGUAGCGGCGAGCGAAAAGGAAGAAGCCCAAACCAAGCCCCACUUUUCUAACUAAGCAUGGUGACAGUAGAGAAUAUAGUUUGCAAAAUUUAAAAAAUGAAAAAAGUAAACUUGGUUAAAAAAGUGGGGCUUGGGGUUGUAAGAUAACAAUGUAGAUUUCUAGAGGAGUCAAAAAAUAAAUUAUUAGUUGAAGUUGCUGGAAAGCAACACCAUAGGGGGUGAUAGUCCCGUAAAUUAAAAUAGUUUAUCUCUUUUAUUGUUAUUCUUGAGUACCUCAAGACAUAAAUGGCUUGAAGGAAUCCAGCGGCACUAACCGCUAAGGCUAAAUACUCUUAAAGAUCGAUAGUGAACUAGUACCGUGAGGGAAAGGUGAAAAGCAGCCCGAUUAGGGCGGUGAAAUAGACCUGAAACCGUAUGUCUACAAGGAGUUGAACCAGGCCCCACUUUUAUAACUAAGUAUAAAAUAUAACUGAACCCGAUUUAGAAAAUUGUGGCUUAGUGAAAAAAUAAAAUUUGAUUAGAAAAGUGGGGCCUGGAACAGCGUGCCUAUUGAAGAAUGAGCCAACGAGUUUAUGCAUACUGCUGCCUAAGUCGGCUAAAACGACGCAGGCAUAGGGAAACCAAGUGUUAAUAGCGCGCAAUUGGUAGCAUGCAUAAGACCCGAAGCCAGGUGAGCUUGCCAUGAGCAGGAUGAAGUAGGUCGAAAGACUUAUGGAGGUCCGAACAGGUAGAUCGUACAACGUCUUCUGAUGACUUGUGGUAAGGAGUGAAAAGCUAAUCGAACCUGGUAAUAGCUGGUU
rfam:Candidatus Nomurabacteria bacterium RIFCSPLOWO2_01_FTLL_39_17 rifcsplowo2_01_scaffold_44254, whole genome shotgun sequence.